rnacentral:miRNA from 1 species
AUCAACAUCAUCUGGAGGACUUAUUAAAAUGCAGAUUGCUGAACUCCACCUCCAAAAUGUCUGAUUCAGUAGAUUUGUAGUGAAGCAAAAGAAUCUGCCUUUUUAGCAAGUUCUCAGGUGAUGCUGCU